GUGAUCCCAACAGCAUUUCUUUCAUGGUGGCAAGUGAUAACAGUCUUCAAAUCAGACUGAAGACAAGAACUGUUUCUCAUUAUCACCAACCAGGAAGUUCAAGCAUAGCGUUGGAGUACAGCUAUUUUAACUCUGAUGAUGGGAGGGAGCUGAAAAGAUGGGAAAGCUCAAGUGAAUACUCAACCUAUACGCCCAUGGGACCUGAAAACAAGGAGGUAACAGACAGAGUGAUAUUGUGCAAUCAGAGUUUACCCCUUGUUUGCUAUAUCCAAAUAACAAUUCAACAGUAAAUGCUUAGUACAAAAAUUCACUAGUGAGAGUAAUGAAACAAUAUUAGGCAGCUGUAGCAAAACCAUCAUGUUUUGGAACAGACAGAAAUUUGGCUAAUAAUGUGAUGAUUGUUAACUUCUCUGAUAGGGGAUAUCUUACAUCACAUUCAGGCAGCUCACAGAUGGUACAUCACUAUAAAGAAGUGAAAGCUACAUUAAUUCCUUUAGCAACAGAGAUUUUCACAUACCUCCUUAUAUCAGCUUACUAAAAUAUUGUUUAGUACCAUAAAAUAUAAAGAUCUGUAGGAAAAAUGUAUAUGCUAAAGGAAACAUUUAUGAGUAAUGAUGUUCCCCACCAAACUCAUUUUUAUUUUUGUAUUUAAUAUAUACAGAUACUGUAAUGGUUGCCUGUAUGGUCAAAAUUAUGUGGCAACUGGUAAUUUUAUGAUAUGAUUGCAGUAACAGCAGUUCUUGAAAAGUAAACCAUAUAGUCUGAAGAUAUUUAGGCUAUGUUUCACUUGUUUGUAGACACAUGUUAAGUUAAUGAAAUUUCAAUUAGAAAAAAAUAUUAUUACAUAUUAUUAGCCUCUUUUAUCAAGUUCAUCUAAUUUUAGUCAACUGAAAGUAAGGAGUGUAGUCUAAUUCUACAAUAUCAAUUUAUUCCAUCAUCAAUUACUAGAAGAUAAUUAAUUCCUUCCUAAAAUAGGUGGGCUGAACUGUCCUCUGGAGAGAACAUACACAGACUAGAGAUCACUUCCAUAUGAGUUAAGUAGACUGUGCACCUAACUGAAACACAGUUAUUAGCUAAAUGUUCUCAGCCAGACCUUUAGACCUUGGAAGUUAAUCACCUGUACAUUCUGUGUCUUUCUUUGUUAUUUCAUUUCCUUCUAACAAACAUCUAGUCUGAUUAUUUAAAAAAAACAUAUCUGAAUCCUAAAAAAAGAGCUCUCAAAAAAAUGCUGACAGUGAGAACAGAAACAAAGCCUACUAGGCAACUGAUAACCAAAACCUCCCCAAUGGC
rnacentral:lncRNA from 1 species